rnacentral:rRNA from 1 species
GUAAAGCGAGCGCNGGCGGUUUGAUAAGUCUGAAGUUAAAGGCUGUGGCUCAACCAUAGUUCGCUUUGGUAACUGUCAAACUUGAGUGCAGAAGGGGAGAGUGGAAUUCCAUGUGUAGCGGUGAAAUGCGUAGAUAUAUGGAGGAACACCGGUGGCGAAAGCGGCUCUCUGGUCUGUAACUGACGCUGAGGCUCGAAAGCGUGGGGAGCGAACAGGAUUAGAUACCCUGGUAGUCCACGCCGUAAACGAUGAGUGCUAGGUGUUGGGUCCUUUCCGGGAUUCAGUGCCGCAGCUAACGCAUUAAGCACUCCGCCUGGGGAGUACGACCGCAAGGUUGAAACUCAAAGGAAUUGACGGGGGCCCGCACAAGCGGUGGAGCAUGCGGUUUAAUUCGAAGCAACGCGAAGAACCUUACCAGGUCUUGACAUCCGAUGCUAUUUCUAGAGAUAGGAAGUUACUUCGGUACAUCGGUGACAGGUGGUGCACGGUUGUCGUCAGCUCGUGUCGUGAGAUGUUGGGUUAAGUCCCGCAACGAGCGCAACCCCUAUUGUUAGUUGCCAUCAUUCAGUUGGGCACUCUAGCGAGACUGCCGGUAAUAAACCGGAGGAAGGUGGGGAUGACGUCAAAUCAUCAUGCCCCUUAUGACCUGGGCUACACACGUGCUACAAUGGUUGGUACAACGAGUUGCGAGUCGGUGACGACGAGCUAAUCUCUUAAAGCCAAUCUCAGUUCGGAUUGUAGGCUGCAACUCGCCUACAUGAAGUCGGAAUCGCUAGUAAUCGCGGAUCAGCACGCCGCGGUGAAUACGUUCCCGGGCCUUGU